CGCGAGACUGUAACAGAACAAAUAUCAAUCGGCGAUAAACUCUUGCAUAUUUAACAAAUAGGGAGGAAAGAUAAUCAUAUACGUGUAUAUCAUGACCAAGAUUAAUUCUUGGGCCCGAUAUAUUCAUUCUCUCCCUCGACUUUUACUUUCUUCCACUCUUUCUCCAAAUAUUUCCGUCCAGUGUGCCACGACUUUCUCGCGUCUCCUGUGCGACGUGCGCAUUCUUGCGUGUUCAAUUACCGGGGAACGUUCAACUUUCCUCCGUCUAUACUCGAUGUACUCGACGGACGGUCCGAGAUAAUUCAUCCGGUUGGAAUUUGCGGAGGAUCGCGAAGAGGAGAGGAGAAACGCGCGAGAGAAGCAAGCAAGCAAGCAUGGGGGAGGGAGAGAGAGAGAGAGAGAGUGGUGAAUUCGAGCUACUGAAACCCAACGAGCAGUCCAUCCCUUGUCAGUUGGCGAAGGGCUGUCAAGAACGGACACGUCCGAUCGGGACAAAAGCAGCGAUUUAUCCCGGCAAAGUGCUACGUCAUCGAGCACGGGAGGUCCGACGAUGAAGUCCCGAAUUAUUAUUAUGUCUGUGAGAACGUAUUCUCAUCCUGUCAGACAGUGCUCGCUUCGAGAAAGAAAUACCACUUGAGACAUCAAACACCCAACGAAUUUGUUUAGCGCGCACUCUCGAAAAAUCGAUCUGGAAAUUCGUGAUUUAGGAAUUCUUGGAGAUAUUUGAAGGAAGCUACCGUUUGUUAUAACACGUUGCUAGAUGUUUUGUCGCAGUUCGGUUUAAAUUUCUUUUUUUUUUCGGGUUUAUAUACUGAAACUUGAGGAGAUAUUAAGAGGGAUAGAAAGAAAAUGGCGAAAAUUGGAAGAACAGGCAGGAUCUAUACCGGAUUCUCCAAAAUCUGGAAAUUCAGUAUUUAGAAAUUUUUGGAGAUAUUUGAUUGAGAUAUUUUGUUGCAAUUUGUUCUAUUUAAGUUUCUUUUUUUUUCAGGUUUAUAUACUGAAACUUGAGAAAAUAUUAAGAGGAAUAGAAAGAAAAUGGCGAAAAUGGUUGCAAGGAGUGGCAGUAUUAUCUAUACCAGAUUCUCCAAAAUCUGGAAAUUCACUAUUUAGAAAUUUUUGGAGAUAUUUGAUUGAAAUAUUUCCUAGAUAUUUUAUUGUAAUUUGUUUUAAAUUUCUUCUUUUUUCAGGUUUACAUAAAAUUGAGAAAAUUUGGAUGAGGAUAAACUAAAAAUUGAGAUGAGAGUGUAAAACUUUCUUGAUUUAGGAUUAGAAAUUAAGAUAAGUAGAAAGAAAAUGGUGAAAAUGGUUGCAAGGAGAGACAUUACCUAUACCAGAUUCUCCAAAAUCUGGAAAUUCACUAUUUAGAAAUUUUUGAAGAUAUUUGAUUGAGAUAUUUGAUUGAGAUAUUUCCUAAAUAUUUUGUUGCAAUUUGUUCUAUCUAAAUUUCUAUUUUUUUUCAGGUUUACAUACUGAAAUUUGAGAAAAUAUGGAUAAGAAUAAAGUAAAAAUUUAAUUGAGAUGAGAGUGUAAAAUUUUCUUGAUUUAAAAUUAGAAAUUAAGAUGAGUAGAAAGAAAAUGGUGAAAAUGGUUGCAAGGAGAAACAAUAUUAUCUAAAAUCUCUCCAAAAUCUGGAAAUUCACUAUUUAGAAAUUUUUGGAGAUAUUUGAUUGAGAUAUUUCCUAGAUAUUUUGUUGCAAUCUAUUUAAAUUUCUUUUUUUUUCAGGUAUACUGAAGCUUGAGAAAAUUUGGAUGAGGAUAAAGUAAAAAUUUAAUUAAAAUUAGAAAUUGAGAUGAUAAUUCUUGAUUUAAAAUUAGAAAUUAAGAUGAGCAGAAAGAAAAUGGCGAAAAUGAUUGCAAGGAGAAACAAUAUUAUCUAUACCAGAUUCUCCAAAAUCUGGAAAUUCACGAUUUAGAAAUUUUUGGAGAUAUCUGAAGCUACCGUUUAUUAUAGCACGUUGCUAGAUAUUUUAUUGCAAUUUCUAUCUAAAUUUCUUUUUUUUCAGAUUUACAUACUGAGAAAAUUUGGAUGAGGAUAAAGUAAAAAUUGAGAGUGUAAAACUUUCUUAAUUUAAAAUUAGAAAUUAAAAUGAAUAAACUAGGGAGACAGUAUUAUCUGUAUUACAAGAUUCUCCAAAAUGAAAGAUAUUAAACUGCAAACAUGGGACAUUGUUAACUUUCCAGCAAUGUACGGGACAAUAUAUUUGGAUAAAGUUACGAGACUAUGAUCGGUGAGAGGUCGACGUACAGCCAGGACAAUAGAAACUCGACAAAGAAUGACUGGAUCAACGAAACUUGUGCGAACGAAUGGAGUUGUCGGAUCCGUAACUCACUCCAAAGAAUCGUGAACGACCGGUUUUCUACGCAUCGAUCGACUGGAUAAUUAUGUGGUGUCAUGGACAUACGAUAGACAAACAAAAAUCCUAUUCUCCAUUGUUAACAAGUUUAAAUAAAUCAAUAACAAAUUUAAAACGAAUAGGAUGUAUCUAAAACAACAGCAUUUUUAAAGAUAAUGGAUUUGCUUACUCGUGUUCACUUGUUCAGAGGAUAAACAAGAUUCAAUCUCAAAGAUGAUUCAGAGAUUGCAUACUCGCCGAGUGACGAGGAAUAAAAUAAAAAUGUUGAUUUCCAUUCUUA